rnacentral:rRNA from 1 species
GACGAACGCUGGCGGCGUGCUUAACACAUGCAAGUCGAACGGAAAGGCCCUGCUUUUGUGGGGUGCUCGAGUGGCGAACGGGUGAGUAACACGUGAGUAACCUGCCCUUGACUGUGGGAUAACUUCAGGAAACUGGGGCUAAUACCGGAUAGGAGCUCCUGCUGCAUGGUGGGGGUUGGAAAGUUUCGGCGGUUGGGGAUGGACUCGCGGCUUAUCAGCUUGUUUGUGGGGUAGUGGCUUACCAAGGCUUUGACGGGUAGCCGGCCUGAGAGGGUGACCGGCCACAUUGGGACUGAGAUACGGCCCAGACUCCUACGGGAGGCAGCAGUGGGGAAUAUUGCACAAUGGGCGGAAGCCUGAUGCAGCAACGCCGCGUGCGGGAUGACGGCCUUCGGGUUGUAAACCGCUUUCGCAUGUGACGAAGCGUGCGUGACGGUAAUGGGUAAAGAAGCACCGGCUAACUACGUG